CUACAGCAACAGCAACAGCAGCAGCUUUGGCACGUAUCGUAUAAUAUUGUUUUGUGCAGUGCGGACGAUGCGUCGGCGGACGAUGAGGCGUGGCGGCGGCUUCGGCGGCGGAGAUAAGGAGAACAGUACGAGCAAGGCCCAAAGUUCAGUAAAUAUAAAUUAGUACAAUACAAAUUGACACAAAUAACAGGACAACAUUUAUUCAAUAAAACUGAUUUAUCAGAACCAGGUCUUCUUAAAACAAGAAGGAGAGUGAUUGUUUGCUUGGCGUAUAACUGCAUCAGUGGGUCAAUUAUUGGAUUAUUGCGACCGUGUUUAGUAACAUAGUAACAUGGCUAGACAUAGCAAACGGAGAAAUAGAGCUGGCUGGCGGGUCACGGAGCUCUGAAAUUGAUAAGGAGAACAAGUGUUGAAGCAUCAGCCACUGAACCACGCCAUAUAAUUUUGCGGUUUUUAACAGACUUUUUCGACGCAAGCACAAAUAAAGGUUUUGGUUAUACUUUCUGGACCGUAGUUAGGGGGAAACAUUGGGCGUUGCCCAGAAAACCUGUUUUUGAGGGGUGGCUAUUUUUUAUUCGUUUAAUUUUGAACUCUUUUAUACAUAUUACACAGAGUAUAUAAUAUUAUAAUAUUAUAACAGAUUCCUGAAGGAACAUGCAGGGAUUCGUGCUGGUAGAUGCGAUUUUCUGGCAGUCGGUCGUCAAGAGAGUGACCAAAACGAUAGUAUUAUUGGCACGUCAUCGGAGAGCAUAUUAUAAAACUACUAUUAUUAUAUAAUCAAAAAUUCGUCAAGUGCGAGACUUCAGGAAUACGCGAGGAUGCAAUGCUUCGAUGGGAUUUACUUGAAACCGUCAACAAUACUGCGAGUAGUGAUGAGUACAUAAAAUACGCUGUACAAUAUUACAUAAGUCGUCGUUCUAUAAUAUCAAUAAACUGUUGAAAAUUUCGAGCAGUUCGAAAAUGGACCGUGGAAACAUUUUGAUACGAUGAUGUGUCAUCGUAGAUAGAUUAAUAUUCUGUUACCACGAACACCUUUUCGAGGAAAAGACAUUUGAAAAAAUAUGGACAAGUCAAAUACUUUGGCUCUUCGCAGUGAUAUAGACCGGAACUGCCGAUGGAGUUGCCGCGGACGAUAAUAUUAAAAUGUUAUUCCGUUUUAUUUGUUUCAUCAGAACAGCGAUUACCAAAAAUAUAUUAUAAUACAUAAUAUUAUAAUAUGAUUCAAUUUUAUCCGAUAAAAUAUCAAAUACUUAGGUACUCUUUUAUUAUAUCAGUUCUAUAUAGAUACGCGUUUUACAGCCAAUAUAAUAAUAUGAACCCAAUUAUCCUGUUGACGAUUCUUUUAGAGGUUGUUUGUAAUAUUAUCAAAAUAUUUUUUAUAUCAGUUGAUUCUCUCGACCGGAGAUAGUC